rfam:Triticum urartu cultivar G1812 contig61341, whole genome shotgun sequence.
UUUGUACUUCCUCCAUCCGGAAAUACUUGUCAUCAAAAUGAAUAAAAGAGGAUGUAUCUAGAUGUAUUUUAGUUCUAGAUACAUCCUUUUCUAUCCAUUUUGAUGACAAGUAUUUUCGGACGGAGGGGGUAUUGG